CUCCAUAAAGAAAGCCCUGAGGGUCCUGAGCACUAGCAUUCUCUGGGUGGUUGCCAGAUGCUGAGGGAUAAGCACUCUGCACAUGCCUGGGAGUAAAUCCUCUACCAGCUCCUGUUAGAUUCCCUUAGGUGAGAGAAAGGGUUUCUAGAGUGAUAGCCUAGUAGGUGCCUCCCAGAACUCAUUGGAGGAAGACUAAAUGGUGACCACCACAGCACAGCACUGUCGAAAACGAGGACACAGAUAUCACUCAAUGGCUCUGUGCUAAUUUAAGGAGGAAGCUACCCCAAAGUCGGUGGAGAUGGGAGAAAAAGGACCGUUUUUACCCCCGCCCAAAUCGAGCUUUUAAAGAAGGCGUUUGAAGAGAACCCGUACCCCGGAUACGGGACUAGGGAGGCUCUGGCGAGGUGCAUCGGAGUCGAAGAAGAUCGUGUGCACGUAAGAAGAGGGAUAGUGGGGGUUCCUGGGACUUCCUUAAACCGCAAAUACUGGAUAAAUUUAAAUCGCUCAGAAUAAUUCUUUCGUUGUCAUUCGAAUGCCUUAGCUCUUCCUGGUGCCUCCGAGCUUAACGUGAAAGACCUGGUUUCAGAACUGAAGAGCGAGAACAAAGAUGACUGGGUCCAAAACAAUGAUCAGGAACCGAGCUACAACUCCUUAUAGCCGCUCUGACAGAAGAAGUCCAAGCACUCCGAGGAGCAGUGCAAGAAGUCCGACGCAGCAACAUUACCAGCCACGCAGCUUCCAUUAUCCCGAAAGCUAUGAAGGAGCAGGGUUCUGGCAGUGACCUCUCAGCACCACGCAACCAGGAGAGCCCGUCUAUGCAGCACAGCAGCAGAACUCCCAGGAAUUGAACCCGGUUCAUUACCAGCCAGCUGCUGUUGGUGGAACUGGGCUUUGUGAGACUUCCAAGGCAAGCAACUGCCCAGUUCCAUAUUAUGAUGCAGAGAUGAUGAGGCAGCCUCCAGCAGGGCUGGUAACUUCUGCACUCCAUCAAGCAGUAAAACUCCCUGGUCUGCAAUGGGGAACAGUCAUUCAAUGGCGAACACUUAUGCAACGGGGAAUCAUCCAGCU